rnacentral:miRNA from 12 species
AGUGGUUAUCCCUGUCCUGUUCG